rnacentral:rRNA from 1 species
AAAAGCUCGUUUGUUGGAUCUCAGCUCCGGCCGGACGGUCCGCCUUUCGGUGGUUACUGUUCGAUGCCGAGCGUUUCGGCGGUUAUUCUUGAUGAUCUUCACCGGUUGUCUCGGGUGACCGCCAAGUUUACUUUGAAAAAAUUAGAGUGCUCAAAGCAGACGCGACGUCUGAAUAAUUGUGCAUGGAAUAAUGGAAUAGGACCUCGGUUCUAUUUUGUUGGUUUUCGGAACACGAGGUAAUGAUUAAGAGGGACAGACGGGGGCAUUCGUAUUGCGACGCUAGAGGUGAAAUUCUUGGACCGUCGCAAGACGAACUACUGCGAAAGCAUUUGCCAAGAAUGUUUCCAUUAAUCAAGAACGAAAGUUAGAGGUUCGAAGGCGAUCAGAUACCGCCCUAGUUCUAACCAUAAACGAUGCCAGCCAGCAAUCCGCCUGUGUUCCUCAAAUGACACGGCGGGCGGCUUCCGGGAAACCAAAGCUUUUGGGUUCCGGGGGAAGUAUGGUUGCAAAGCUGAAACUUAAAGGAAUUGACGGAAGGGCACCACCAGAAAUGGAGCCUGCGGCUUAAUUUGACUCAACACGGGAAAGCCUAUCCGGUCCGGACACAGGAAGGAUUGACAGAUUAAGAGCUCUUUCUUGAUUCUGUGGGUGGUGGUGCAUGGCCGUUCUUAGUUGGUGGGGCGACUUGUCUGGUUAAUUCCGAUAACGAACGAGACUCUAGCCUACUAAAUAGACGUUCCGAUCCUCUUUCGUCGGACGUUCUUCUUAGAGGGACAAGCGGCGUUUAGCCGCACGAGACAGAGCAAUAACAGGUCUGGGAUGCCCUUAGAUGUCCGGGGCCGCACGCGCGCUACAUUGAAGGAAUCAGCGUGUGCUUUCCCUGUCCGAAAGGACUGGGUAACCCGUUGAACCUCCUUCGUGCUGGGGAUUGGCGCUUGUAACUAUUCGCCAUGAACGAGGAAUUCCCAGUAAGCACGAGUCAUUAGCUCGUGUUGAUUACGUCCCUGCCCUUUGUCCACACCGCCCGUCGCUACUACCGAUUGAAUGAUUUAGUGAGGUCUUCGGACUGGCGCUCGGAUUGGCCUUCGCGGUCGAGCCGGUGUGCCGGAAAGAUGACCAAACUUGAUUCAUUUAGAGGAAGUAAAGUCGUAACAAGGUUUU